rnacentral:rRNA from 1 species
AACGAACGCUGGCGGCAGGCUUAACACAUGCAAGUCGAGCGCGUAGCAAUACGAGCGGCAGACGGGUGAGUAACGCGUGGGAAUCUACCGUACCCUACGGAAUAGCUCUGGGAAACUGGAAGUAAUACCGUAUACGCCCUAACGGGGAAAGGUUUAUCGGGGUAUGAUGAGCCCGCGUUGGAUUAGCUAGUUGGUGGGGUAAAGGCCUACCAAGGCGACGAUCCAUAGCUGGUCUGAGAGGAUGAUCAGCCACAUUGGGACUGAGACACGGCCCAAACUCCUACGGGAGGCAGCAGUGGGGAAUAUUGGACAAUGGGCGCAAGCCUGAUCCAGCCAUGCCGCGUGAGUGAUGAAGGUCUUAGGAUUGUAAAGCUCUUUCACCGAUGAAGAUAAUGACGGUAGUCGGAGAAGAAGCCCCGGCUAACUUCGUGCCAGCCGCCGCCGUAAUAC